AGGCGAGCUGAAGCAGGAGAUGGACCCCAACAAAUCCAGGAAGGAGCAGAUUGAGCCUCGGGGCUGUGUACGAGGGAGCGAGACGCGCGGGUCCGAGGGCCUGAGCACAGUCUCUCAUAUUAGACAGGCGUGCACACACGUGUGCACAUCGCGAUGGCUACGUCACUUUUGACGCCUUUGCUGCUGCUGUGCGCCGUGGUGGAGGUGCAUCCAAAAACGGUGAAGGAACACUACAUUGCUGCUGUGGAAAUUGGCUGGGACUAUGUCCAUGUUGGUGGUGGUGGUGCAACGCCUGACCAAAGGUGGCCGUCCAAAGAUGCGCCACAGAAAUACAAAAAAGCCAUUUACAGGGAGUACACGGAUGCCACAUACACUGUCCCCACGCCAAGAUCACCACAGGCAGGUAUUCAAGGUCCGCUGAUCGUGACCGAGCCCUCAGGACGGGUGGUUGUGCACUUCAGAAACCUGGCGUCUCGGCCUUACAGUAUCAGCCCUGUGGGGAUCACGUACGGGAAGCAGUCUGAAGGGGCCGGCUAUGAGGACUCCACAGGAGGUCAAGAGAAGGAGGACGAUGCCGUCUCUCCUGGAAGAUACCACAAGUACGUGUGGGACAUCAACGCGAAUGACGGCCCCACGGACGACGACCCAGAGUGUCUCACGUACUCCUACUCGUCUCAGGUGGACCCGGUCCGAGACCUCAACUCCGGACUUAUCGGUGUCCUGCUCAUCUGCAAGUCAUCGGCUUUGCGCGACGGACAGAAGAGGAAAAACACUGCGUUCAUCCUGCUCUUUGCAGUGUUUGACGAGAAGAAGAGCUGGUAUGGGGACGUGGGGGAGAGGAGGGGCAGCAGAAAAGAAUACCACACCGUCAACGGAUACAUCAACGCCACUUUACCUGGUUUGACAAUGUGCCAAAGCAACUUAAAUGUGUUUUGGCAUCUGAUUGGCAUCGGCACUGCCCCAGAGAUACACUCCAUUCAGUUCCAGCAUCACACACUGAAGGUGAUGAACCAUCGGAAAGUGACUUUGGAGGUGACCCCUAUGACUUUUGUCACAGCACAGAUGAAGCCCACCUCUGUGGGGCGCUUCCUGAUCAGCUGUCUGAUACAUUCACACCGCCUGGAUGGCAUGAAAGCCAUGUUCACGGUGGACAAGUGCCCUGAGCCCACCCGCCCGCCGGGGCCCGAUCUUCGCCGAGCCAAAUACGACGAGGAUUUUGAUAGCAGCGACUAUGUGUUCGAACCCAUCCUCAUCCCUCCCAAGACGCCGCAAGUGAGAUCCAGCAGCGGGAAGCCAUUUUUAACCAAGCAGCAUUACAUCGCAGCCGAGGAGGUCAUGUGGGACUACGCUCCUCAUCUCGAGGCCACGGACAGUGAGUUGCAGUACGGGGACACGCCCACGGGUCCGCAUCAUCUCGACUACAAGUACAAAAAGGUGGCCUACGUGGAAUACACGGACGCAUCGUUCACCAAGAGGAAGAAGACCAGCAGGACACUGAUGGGUCCAUUACUGAAAGGAAAAGUCAAGGAUCACCUCCAUAUCACCUUCAAAAACCUGGCCAGUCACCCGUUUAAUAUCUACCCUAACGGCCUCACCAAAAUAUAUCCACUGCUGACAUCCACAGAAGAAAAGGACUUGCGCUCGAUGGAGGUGCCUCCAAACGGGACCUUUGUCUACGUCUGGGAGCUAACCACCAAUGAUGCACCCUUGGAGGAGGACCCCCAGUGUCUGGCCCAGCUGUAUCAGAGCACCGUGUCCCCAGAAAGAGAUCUGGCCUCAGGGCUGGUGGGCAUCUUGCUCAUCUGCAAGUUUGAUUCCAUGGACAAACUAAAACGCCUGGUGCGCGCCGAUAAGGAGUGGAGUCUGAUGUUCGCUGUCUUUGAUGAGAACAAAAGUUGGUACGUGGAUGAGAACCUUUACAAAGACCAAAAUUCAUCCAAGAGCACAGACCCUGAGUUCUACGACUCCAACGUCAUUUACAGCAUUAAUGGCCUCAUGUUCAGCGGGCACCAGUUAGUGGUGUGUCAGACUGAUAUCACCUUCUGGCACAUGGCAAGCGUGGGCAUCCAGAACGACUUCCUGUCGGUUUACUUCACCGGAAACCUCUUUCAGUAUCAUGGUCUUCAUCAGGCCGUCCUCACCCUCUUUCCCAUGACUGCCAUUACCAUUAGCAUGGAAAUGGACCUGCCAGGUGAGUGGGAUAUCAGCGCCUUUGACAGCAGCCUCAAGAAACGGGGGAUGAGCUUUCGUUACAGCGUUUGUCCCUGCGAUGGAGACUUCCUGAACCCAGAUGAUAUCGCUGACUGUGGGGAUCAAACUUAUCUCAUACCGAAGGGAAAGAAACUUCAAAGCGACCCACAGCAGAUGAUAAAUGUGACCAAAGUGUCUUCAGAGGGACGAAAUGAAGCCCCUGCCAAAAAGGAGGAAGAAGGAAUCCCGCUGGAUAUCUUGGAGGAAUUGGAAAGAAAUGGGGAUUGGAUUGUGGCUGUGAAAGACACUGAACUUGAAAGAAGUGGCAGGCGGAGAAGACAAGCAGAGGGCAACUGGACAAGUUCUAGAGAGGCAGAAGAUGGAGAAUCCAAAGAGGAGUUAGGAGGGGAGUCUGUGGAAAAUGGAACGGAUGCCACUGUUGAGCCAAGGAACGAGAGCCCACUUGAAAUGAAUGUGACAAUGGAAGAGAGCAAUGAGAUCUUAUUGCAGAGAAACCCAGGAUUCCCAGAGAACAUCUCAAGUAAUUCACUAGAGAUGGAUCAAGAGAGUGAGUCUGGUUCUGGGCAGCAGGGAGUGAAUCUGCUGAUGGAUUAUAAUUACACUGCCAUUAAGAACACAGGAAUCAGUCUCUCUGUAGAUUAUGAUGACUACAACCAAGAGGAGAAGAGCAUGUCUGCUGGGAUCGCCUCAGACAAACUGGACAUGCGCUCCGGAAAAACAAUACACCGCUACUACUACAUCGCUGCAGAGGAGAUCAGCUGGGACUAUGGCAUCAAGAAACCCCGUCACCUGAUAAAACCCAGAGAGAUGCAACGUGGAAUGAGAAAGUUCCUGCCAGAAUACAAGAAGGUGGUGUUUAAGGCCUACAGCAACCGAGACUUCCUGCAUCCUGCAAAGAGAGGAGAGCUUCAUCAACACCUAGGACUCAUGGGACCUGUCAUCAAAGUGGAAGUGAAUGACGUCCUCACCGUCAUAUUCAAGAACAAGGCGUCCAGACCAUACUCAUUUCACCUUCAGGGAGUUUAUGAUCGGACUCAGGGGGGAGGCUUGGUACCAAGUCAUAGCACUUCACUGCCAUUUGGGGUCCCAGGAGAGCCUGUCCAGCCUGGGGAGGCUCGCCUAUAUAACUGGAAAAUAGCAAGGCAACACGGUCCCACCAAAGCAGAAUUUGACUGCAAGGCCGGAGCAUACUACUCCACCAUCAACAAGGAGAAAGACCUUCACUCAGGUCUGAUUGGACCGCUGGUUGUGUGUAAGAGAGGGACUCUGCAGGUAGAUGAUCAACCAAAGAUCCAGGAUUUCUCCCUUCUCUUCCACACCUUUGAUGAGACCAAAAGCUGGUAUCUGGAGGAGAACCUUCGGAGGCACUGUGCCCCUCCUUGUCAGGUCAACCCUGAGGACCCCUGGUACCACAUCAGCAACAAGUUUUCAGCAAUAAAUGGCUAUGUGGCAGAAACACUUCCUGGUCUGUUGGUUCCCCAUAACCAGACAGUCAGGUGGUACCUACUCAAUGUGGGAGGUGAUGGAGAGUACCAUGCUGUGCACUUCCACGGUUUGCCUUUCACGGUACACAUCGAGCAGAACCACCGCAUGGGCGUCUACAACCUCUUCCCUGGUGUGUUCGGCACUGUGGAGAUGAUCCCCUCUACAAUUGGCACGUGGCUGGUGGAGUGCACCAUAGGGGACUACCAACUGGCUGGAAUGAGAGCUAAACUGCUGGUGUAUGAUCCAGAAUGUGCCUUACCUCUGGGAAUGCAAUCACAAAGAAUCAAGGAUUCCCAGAUCACCGCUUCAGAUCACAUAGGUAGCUGGAAGCCCCAGCUGGCGAGGCUGCAUCAGUCUGGUUAUAUCAAUGCUUGGAUGGGCUCAAGCAACUCCUCCUGGCUGCAGGUGGACCUGCUGAAGCCAACCUUGCUGCAUGGUAUUGAGACGCAGGGAGUGAGUUCAAACCUGAGGAACCACUACAUCUCACUCUUCACUGUCUCCUACAGCCUAGACCAGGAGAAGUGGACCACCUACCAAGGAAACCUCACAAAUCAGCCCCAUAAGUUUCAUGGCAACAUGCACAGCUCCAACGUGAAACGCAACCAAUUCCGUCCACCACUGAUGGCUCGCUACAUCAGGAUUCAUCCCGAAAACUCUGAGCCCAAGCCUGCACUGCGCCUGGAAUUGCUGGGCUGCGAUGUCAACAGUUGCUCACACCCUCUUGGCCUGAGGUCAGGGCAGAUCACCACCAUCACCGCCUCCUCGUAUCGCUCCUCUCUGCUUCGUAGCUGGAAACCCACUCUGGCCCGCCUCCAUCAGCAGGGCAGCGUCAACGCCUGGAGGCCCAAGAGCAACAGCCCUCAGGAGUGGCUCCAGGUGGACCUGGGCACCGUCAAGCGCAUCACAGGCGUGGUGACCCAGGGGGCGACGUCUCUGUUCACAGAGAUGAUGGUGACGGAGUUUGCGGUGAGCGUCAGCGAUAAUGAAACAUUGUGGCGCAGCGUGUUGGAGGAGGACUCGCAAAGUGAAAAGAUGCUUGUGUUCUGAGCUUCUGAGCCCAUUUGAACUCUUGCUAAUCAAAACAGCAGCACCUACUGAGGCAACAGCUGAUGAACGAAAACUUGGGAGUAUUACGGCAUUUUCUCUACCCAGUUGUACCUCAUGUGGAGAAACCAUCUUUUCCACUAAUUGAACUAUAGAUGGAUGGAUGGAUGGAUGGAUGGAUGGAUGGAUGGAUGGAUGGAUGGAUGGAUGCAUGUGUGCUCUCUCCAGUGUUGCAUGUGUCCAUAUUUAUGCUAGGGCAGGGGUGUCCAAACUUUUUCCAGCGAGGGCCACAUAGUGAAAAAUGAAAGGAUGCAACUUUGCCACUUUGAUAUUUUGUAAAGAUACGCCAAGAAGUUAUAUGGAGUUCACAAAAAAAAUGCAUCUCAGCUUUGUGAGAGGUAAAAAAGCCUUUUUUUAUUAUUAUUUUCUUAAUUAAUCUACGUUUUUAUUUUGUAAUAUUUUGACUUCAUUCUCAUCAUACUAUAACUUUUCCCCAACCUAAUUUUUCAAAAAUGACACUUAAUUUUGUUUUGUUUUUUCCUCAUAACAUAAUGACUAUUAAAAACAUUUUUUUUCUUUAGUAUUUCAGCGCAAAUGACAUGAUUUUUCCUCAUAAUAUUAUGAGUUUAUUCUUGUAAAAUUGCAACUUUUUUCUCAUUAGAAUACAACUUUUUUUCUCUGAAUAUUUUGACUUUAUUCUUGUAAAACUACCGCUGCUUUUUCUAGUGCUUCUGCUGUUGGUCUUUUUUUUUUUAAUUAUAUUUCAACUUCUUGUAAAUGUUUUUCUUGUAAUUAUGACUUUAAUCCCAUAAUAUUUUCACUUUAUUAAAUGGAUAAAUGAAUAUAACUCUUUCUGUAACCUAAUUUUCCAAAAAUGAUAACUUUAUUUGUUGUUUUGUUUGCUUCUCAUAAUAUAAUGACGUCUUUAUUUAUUACGAUGUCUUUUUUGUUUAAUAUUUCAACUUUGUCCUACUACAAUCAUGUUAUUUUUUCCCUCAUAACAGCACAACGUUAUUCGCAUAAAAAAACGACUUCUCAUGAGAUUACAACUUUUUUCUCUGAAUAUUUUGACUUUGUUCUUGUGAAAUUACUGCUGAUUUUUUAGUUUUGCUGGGUUUUUUUAAGUUUUCUUGUUAAAUUAUAUUUUUAGAAUACUGUAGGUGUACCAGAGCAGGGGUGUCAAACUCGUUUUCACGGUGGGCCCCAUCACGUUUAUGGUUACCCUCAGAGGGCCGCCUAGAAAUGUCAAACCAGACUCACGUAAUCGCCUCAUGAUAUUAUGACACAUUUGAUGAUUAUCAUUUUCACUUUGUAUUGUUUGACCAAUAAACUUACUUUGAAAGACGUCAAGGUGCACAUUUGAGUGUGCAACUAUUGUAUAAUUCUAAUAAUACUAAUUUUAUUAAUAACAAAUAAUACUUAUUAUAUUCAUUCAUAAAUAAAAUACUUCUAAAUUGUAUUUGACAACAAAAAAACCCAAAUACAUUUAGCAAGAAAUAUUAAAUGUCUUUUGGAUAUUUUAUUUUUGUAUUAUUUUGUACUUAAUAUAAUACAAAUAUACUUAAAUAAGUUCAUAUAUAAAAAUUAUUUUUCACAGUAAUAUUACAAAUAACACAUAAGAUAAUCAUUCUAACGAUAUUUAUUAUGUACGUAUAUUAUUUUAUGAUACACAAAAAAUGAAACGAAUAAUAAUAACAUUUAUUCUGGAGUUUGACACCUGUGUAAUAGAGCAGGGAUUCUGUCUGUGAAUGCAUCUCGAUUUCUUGUCUUUGCUCUUCUUGCCACGCCGCCACGGGGUGUGUGCCACGAUUAUGGGCGACUCUGUCAAGCUUGAGUGGGAGGGGAAGGACAUGGAGCGGGGUCUUAACAUGCCAUCCGGCCAACACACAGCUGCAGAUAUCUGCUGGAGAAGAGCACGCAAACGGUCCCUUUCAGUAUAACAGACGUUUAGAUCUUCACAGGAAACAGUGAACCGGACGAGGAGGCACUCACUGUUUUUGAACCGGCUGUGUUCGGCCGCUACCUGCGGAUCUACCCCCGUGGUUGGGUCAACGACAUCGCUCUGCGUUUGGAGGUGCUGGGCUGCGACAUG